UACGGAGGGGGCUAGCGUUGUUCGGAAUGACUGGGCGUAAAGCGCGCGUAGGCGGAUCAGAAAGUUGGGGGUGAAAUCCCGGGGCUCAACCUCGGAAUGGCCUUCAAAACUCCUGGUCUUGAGUUCGAGAGAGGUGAGUGGAAUUCCGAGUGUAGAGGUGAAAUUCGUAGAUAUUCGGAGGAACACCAGUGGCGAAGGCGGCUCACUGGCUCGACACUGACGCUGAGGUGCGAAAGCGUGGGGAGCAAACAGG
rnacentral:rRNA from 1 species